AUUCUGCUGAUCAGUCCUAAAUAGGACGAAACGCAUAUCCUGAAU
rnacentral:hammerhead_ribozyme from 1 species